UGCCAGCAGCCGCGGUAACACGGAGGGAGCGAACGUUAUUCGGUAUCACUGGGCUUAAAGCGUGCGUAGGCGGCCUAUUAAGUCAGUGGUGAAAGGUAUCAGCUUAACUGAUGACGUGCCAUUGAAACUGAUAGGCUUGAGUACAGACGAGGUAGGCGGAAUUUAUGGUGUAGCGGUGAAAUGCAUAGAUACCAUAAAGAACACCGAUAGCGAAGGCAGCUUACUAGGCUGAGACUGACGCUGAGGCACGAAAGCGUGGGGAGCGAACAGGAUUAGAUA
rnacentral:rRNA from 1 species